rnacentral:rRNA from 1 species
UACGUAGGUGGCAAGCGUUGUCCGGAUUUACUGGGCGUAAAGGAUGCGUAGGCGGAUGCUUAAGUCAGAUGUGAAAAUCCCGAGCUUAACUUGGGAACUGCAUUUGAAACUGGGUAUCUAGAGUGCGGGAGAGGAGAGUGGAAUUCCUAGUGUAGCGGUGAAAUGCGUAGAGAUUAGGAAGAACACCAGUGGCGAAGGCGACUCUCUGGACCGUAACUGACGCUGAGGCAUGAAAGCGUGGGGAGCAAACAGGAUUAGAUACCCUGGUAGUCCACGCCGUAAACUAUGAAUACUAGGUGUGGGAGUUGUCAUGACUUCCGUGCCGCAGUUAACACAAUAAGUAUUCCGCCUGGGGAGUACGGUCGCAAGAUUAAAACUCAAAGGAAUUGACGG